UCACGCCCGGAUACCAGCGGAAGCAUAUCCGGUCGCGUGCACAGACCCGCCGUAUACACCACAACUCAAGUAUACACAAGGCGUCUACAAACCAUAUAGUAAAAGCAUAUAAUUCUAACGAGGUAAUCAGAGCACGACUUUAAGCUUAAACUUAUACAAUCCAAACCUUAAUACAAGAAAUAAGAAUAACGUACAAUUAACAAAAACUUAAUAUACAUCUCUGCACUAAACUAUAUAAACUGCUGAAGGUGAUCUUGUACACGUCCAAAAA
rnacentral:lncRNA from 1 species